rnacentral:tRNA from 1 species
GGACGUUUAGCUGAGACAGAUCAGCGUCGGUUUGAAGAGCCGAAGAGCUUGGUGCGAUACCAAGAGCGUCCACCA